GGCCCUGUAGUUCAACGGAUAGAAUGGGAGAUUCCGGUUCUCCAGGUUGAGGUUCGAUUCCUCACAGGGUCA
rnacentral:tRNA from 1 species